rnacentral:tRNA from 1 species
GCGUCGGCUGGGCAUUGGCGGGCCCGCGUGCCUGUAGAGCACGUUCCCCUGCGGACUUGGCGGUUCAACUCCGUCCCGGCGCA